GCAGCCGUGACUGAAUGGUUACGGUGUUCGCUUUGUUAGCGAAUGAUCCUGGGUUCGAUUCCCAUCUGCUCCA
rfam:Culex pipiens quinquefasciatus supercont3.319 genomic scaffold, whole genome shotgun sequence.